ACGUAGGGUGCGAGCGUUAAUCGGAAUUACUGGGCGUAAAGCGUGCGCAGGCGGUUUGUUAAGUCUGAUGUGAAAGCCCCGGGCUCAACCUGGGAAUGGCAUUGGAAACUGGCAAGCUUGAGUAUGGCAGAGGGGGGUGGAAUUCCGCGUGUAGCAGUGAAAUGCGUAGAGAUGCGGAGGAACACCGAUGGCGAAGGCAGCCCCCUGGGCCAAUACUGACGCUCAGGCACGAAAGCGUGGGGAGCAAACAGGAUUAGAUACCCUGGUAGUCCACGCCCUAAACGAUGCUCACUAGGUGUUGGGGAAGCGAUUCCUUGGUACCGUAGCUAACGCGUGAAGUGAGCCGCCUGGGGAGUACGGCCGCAAGGUUA
rnacentral:rRNA from 1 species